AGGGAUGUGGCUCACUGGAAGAGCAACUUUCUUGCAUUCUGAAGGUCCCAGGUUCAAUCCCUGGGGUCUCCU